rnacentral:rRNA from 1 species
GUGCCUAAUACAUGCAAGUCGAGCGAGCGGAACCAACAGAUUUACUUCGGUAAUGACGUUGGGAAAGCGAGCGGCGGAUGGGUGAGUAACACGUGGGGAACCUGCCCCUAAGUCUGGGAUACCAUUUGGAAACAGGUGCUAAUACCGGAUAAUAAAGCAGAUCGCAUGAUCAGCUUUUGAAAGGCGGCGUAAGCUGUCGCUAAGGGAUGGCCCCGCGGUGCAUUAGCUAGUUGGUAAGGUAACGGCUUACCAAGGCGACGAUGCAUAGCCGAGUUGAGAGACUGAUCGGCCACAUUGGGACUGAGACACGGCCCAAACUCCUACGGGAGGCAGCAGUAGGGAAUCUUCCACAAUGGACGCAAGUCUGAUGGAGCAACGCCGCGUGAGUGAAGAAGGUUUUCGGAUCGUAAAGCUCUGUUGUUGGUGAAGAAGGAUAGAGGUAGUAACUGGCCUUUAUUUGACGGUAAUCAACCAGAAAGUCACGGCUAACUACGUGCCAGCAGCCGCGGUAAUACGUAGGUGGCAAGCGUUGUCCGGAUUUAUUGGGCGUAAAGCGAGCGCAGGCGGAAAAAUAAGUCUAAUGUGAAAGCCCUCGGCUUAACCGAGGAACUGCAUCGGAAACUGUUUUUCUUGAGUGCAGAAGAGGAGAGUGGAACUCCAUGUGUAGCGGUGGAAUGCGUAGAUAUAUGGA